CAGUAAAUAGUUUAUUAAAAAUUUAAACUUUGGAAGUUUAAGAAGUAUUUAAUUAUACUUAACUGA
rnacentral:tRNA from 1 species